CCUCUGUGAUAGGUCCCAAUCCCAAUUUUGCAUUUUUCUUUUUGUUUUCUUCUUCGUUUUCUUGUUUGUUUUCAUUUGUAAAUAAUUAUGCUUAAGUACUAGAAUAAAUAAACCAAACCUGUAAAUAUGUAAAUAAAUUCCCAUAAUCUUUUCCAACGAUACCAUUCACACUAAAAUUAAAUGUAUAUAAUAAAUAAGCUGAAUUAGAUAAAAAUAUAAAUGAAUUAAAUUUGAAUUUGAAUUUUCCCUACCCUAUUAUCCCCCUGGUAUCUCAACGUUAAACCAUUUCCUAUCCUAUAUGUACAUAUUCAUCAUGGCGCGCGGUACCAACUUUGCGGAGACAAACCCUCCCGGGAAAUGUUCUCCUAUGCUUGGGAAUUGCGGAGUCAUGGAAUGCCUUAUAAGCCUAAGCAGGCUCAAGCUAGGCCUCUUUUCGGAACGAAAUCCUAAUAAGUGCCGUAAUGAGAGUAUCGGCGGUGAUUUCCUUUUUUCCAUUUUUCUAUCGGGGGUGACGAAGUGCUCCAGCCAGUGAAGCUAAAGUGAAUUCUGGUGCAACGGACGAUUUUCCACCAGCCCUGUGUGCUCGAACUGGACAAACAGCCUCAGCCAGGACGCAAGAAGAAGUUUUGCCGGCGGGUAUCCAGCGCCCCAACCCGAUCGUCGACGAAGGCGUCGAUGAGCAAGCCGACUCGGACGCCGCCAUCUGGCCGGAAGGUACCCGGUCCGAAAGAUCAACCUCCACGACAGUAUCGACAGGUGAAGUUGAAUAGUGCAUUUCCUUUUUUCUCAUUGAAUUCCCUCCCCAAAAUUAAUAAAUCAAAGUUGUAAAUAUUUAA